CUAAGCAUUCUAGCAGUCACUUCUCCUCCAGCUGCAAAACUGCAUAUAAGAAGCUGUAGUGUAGGUCAUUUAAUAAUUUAGUACUCUCCUCUUGAUCUGUUCUGCUGUCAACUAGCUGAAGUAUUUCCCAAUAAGUUCUUCACAUUUCCGGGGGCUCUCAGUUCAUCCUAAGAGGAGAGAGGACACAAGAAUUGCCAAUACUUUAAUCAAGGUAUUGAUCUUGACCCCCUGCUGCUUCCUGGAGGAUGGCACCCAGAUGGUGAAGGGGAAGGGACAUGGAGUCAACAUGCAAAUGACAUUGAAUCCAGCAUGCAACAGGAGGAACCCCUCACCAAACCUAGCCAAAACCCCCUAAAACAACUGGAUGAAUCAAUGCAAUGUCGAGAUGUGAGGAACAGAAUCUAGUAGUCAUCAAGACCCUUUUUACUCCUCACCCUAAUCUCAAAGAUGUCGGCUAGACAGAGGACAUCGAAUGUUGAAGCAAAAAAGCAAGGGAUUUCCUGAUGCUCUUGUGAGGAUAAAAUCCACAGCUCUGCCCACAGACCUGUGGACAAAGCUGAGCUCUUCCUUCUCCUCCGAGUCACUCUGAUGUGAGUAUGAGCCCAUUGCUUCUCCCCACCUGAACUGAUCGCUUUUAAUAAAGGCAUAAAAAAGGAGAAAGUUCUCCUGCCCGUGUUUAUUUCACCAAGUCGUGGGGGUUUUUAAGCUUGAAACCUUAAAAGUUGUAAGAGCGGUCCUGUUGCUUUUCAUUCAGUGACUGAUAACAGCUGCUGGUUUUGGGUUUUUUCCCAGCCCUCAGCCUGUGUUAUCUGCUCGAAAUCCCAGUGCCAUCAGCUGAAGGAGGGAGUUUACCAGAAGGUACUGAAGCACAAGAACAUGCUACUGUGAGAAAUGAAACCCUGGAGAUGGGAGCUUUUUUUCAGAGUGGUAAUUGCUAGUUGAUGUUGAUGAAGUUGAUAGAGUCUUAAUUUGAACUGUUGGUCUGUUGUUGAAUAUUGAUGUUAGCAUUCUGGGACUUGCCUAUGGUUACCACUGUUAAGUGUUACCAUCUUACCCUGUAUUUGUAUCCUUUUCCCUUGGGAACCACUUCCCCUGCUCCCAGAAGGACUUGCACCCGGACUGAAUUUAAUGAGGGGAUGUUGGUACUAUAUGGACCCUCUCAAAAACAACAAACCAGCACCGAAACU